GCCUCGGUGGUGUAAUAGAAAGCACGGCAGACCGGAUAUCUGUUAGUGCGGGUACGAGUCCCGCCUGAGGUU
rfam:Dictyocaulus viviparus strain HannoverDv2000 D_viviparus-1.0_Cont16791.1, whole genome shotgun sequence.